CCAAAGGCUCUUUUAAGAGCCACCCAUGUCUACACAGAGAGAGCUU
rfam:Danio rerio chromosome 7, GRCz11 reference primary assembly.